CGUCGCCUAACGCAGUCGGAUUCUCCGUCGACCACAAAAAAACAGGAUUAUCCAUCGACCCCGACAGGCUUUGAGUCGCUCGCCCCAUCAGGCAAUGUCGAGCACGGGUUGAGGCAAGAUAUUGGUGGAUAAGGUUCUAUCUCUGAUGAUGUCAGCGGUGUUGGCCGGAUCUGCGUCCAGAAAUCCACGGAGUGACCACGCCCUUGACAGAAUUAGCAUACGGUGUUUGUAUUUUUAGUUUCUUGUGUUUUGCUGGUCCUUGACAAAUGUAUUGUCCGGAAAUAUCUGUACUUUUAAGUUUUUCUUUUUUCAUGUAAUUAUGUGUGUUGUGUGUAUGUAUGUAUUGCUUUUAUUUAAUGAUAUGAGCAUAUAUCUUUUGGAAAUUU